rfam:Triticum aestivum genome assembly, contig: Triticum_aestivum_CS42_TGACv1_scaffold_030986_1BL
AAGCUACUCCCUCCGUCCGGAAAUACUUAUCAUCAAAAUGAAUAAAAGGGGAUGCAUUAGUUCUAGAUACAUCUCUUUUUAUCCAUUUUGAUGAUAAGUAUUUGCGGACGGAGGGAGUACAAC